rnacentral:lncRNA from 1 species
UUUAAACUUUCAUGCUUUGAACUUCCCAUUGUGUUUUCAAAUUUUGACAGCAGAUUUUUUCUUAAGUUCUACUUUAGUAAAUAAAACAAUGAGAUAAAUGAUGAAAGCAAUAAAAGCCUUUAUCCUUGUUUUCAUAGCUCUGUCUGUUGUUCCUUUCUUGCAGAGCAUGAAUUUUGAGUCCUAUUAAAGAGCCUUAGUUACAUGUAUAUCUAUUUUUAAAAAAGAUUUAUUUAAGUAUUUUACCUAUGUGAGUACUUUGUCUGCAUGUACAUCUGCACACCAGAAGAUGGCAUCAGACAAUUGUGAGCUGCCAUGUGGGUGCUGGGAAUUGAAUUUAGGACUUUUGGAAGAGUCUUAACUACUGAGCCAUCACUCAAGGUCCCAUGUACUUCUUAUUUUUAUAAUGUAUUUUCAUCUUGUUUUUCCAAUUUUGAUUUCCUUUUCCGUACUUAAGUGAUUCUUUCCUGUUAUCUUCAGUUGUUUUUUCGUAAGCACUUGGAUUUAAUUUUAUUAUUUUAGUUGGUUGUUUUAGCUAGAAGGAGACAUUGUUAAACAUUUAGUUUGUAUUGUACAUGUAACAAACAUUUAGUUUUCCUCUUUGGAUGUUUUGAGUAGAAGGUGACAUUGUACUAUAUACUUGUAACAAGUGUUUAGUUUAAGUCGGUGUUUUAAACAGGAAUGUUGCCGGACAUGGUGGCGCAUGCCUUUAAUCCCACCACUUGGGAGGCAGAGGCAGGCGGAUUUCUGAGGCCAGCCUGGUCUAUAGAGUGAGUUCCAGGACAGCUAGGGCUACACAGAGAAACCCUGUCUCGAAAAAACAAAAAAAAACAAAACAAACCAGGAAUGUUUGGGCAUUGAGAUUUCACUAUAUUUUCUAUUUUCUAAUGGGUUUUUAAUGGUUUCUUUUUGAUAUUUUUCUAACAUCUUUUAAUUCUCACAGGGUCAUAAUGUUCAUAUUUCUCAGAAACAGCUCAGCUAGUCUUCGAGGCCUAGGCACAAAGAACAUUAAUUCCUGAUGGAACUAAGAAUAUCAAGGCAGAGCUGGGCAGGGGUGGCGUUUAAUGGUUUCUUUUUGAUAUUUUUCUAACAUGUUUUUAUAAUCUUUUAAUUUUCACAGGGUCAUAAUGUUCAUAUUUCUCAGAAACAGCUCAGCUAGUCUUCGAGGCCUAGGCACAAAGAACAAUUCCUGAUGGAACUAAGAAUAUCAAGGCAGAGCUGGGCAGGGGUGGCGCACGCCUUUGAUCCCAGUACCUGGGAGGCAGAGGCAGGCGGAUUUCUGAGUCUAAAGAGUGAGUUCCAAGAGAGCCAGGGCUACACAGAGAAACCCUGUCUCAAAAAA